rnacentral:tRNA from 1 species
GCCCGAGUGGUGAAAUGGUAGACACACAGGACUUAAAAUCCUGAGGACGGUUUCGUCCGUGCCGGUUCAAGUCCGGCCUCGGGCACCA